rnacentral:rRNA from 1 species
UGGGGAAUAUUGCACAAUGGGGGAAACCCUGAUGCAGCAACGCCGCGUGAAGGAUGAAGGUUUUCGGAUUGUAAACCUCUGUCCUUGGUGACGAUAAUGACGGUAGCCAAGGAGGAAGCCACGGCUAACUACGUGCCAGCAGCCGCGGUAAUACGUAGGUGACAAGCGUUGUCCGGAAUUACUGGGUGUAAAGGGAGCGUAGGCGGGAAGACAAGUUGGGAGUGAAAUGUAUGGGCUUAACCCAUAAACUGCUUUCAAACUGUUUUCUUGAGUGAAGUAGAGGCAGGCGGAAUUCCUAGUGUAGCGGUGAAAUGCGUAAAUAUUAGGAGGAACACCAGUGGCGAAGGCGGCCUGCUGGGCUUUAACUGACGCUGAGGCUCGAAAGCGUGGGUAGCAAACAGGAUUAGAUACCC